rnacentral:lncRNA from 1 species
CUUGAGGUGCCCCCUCCACAUCAUCUUCAAACUUACUCCUGUGGCCUAUGGUUGCAAAGUGGAAACAAUUACACUGAAUGUGGAAGCUGUGGACACACAUCGUGACAAGCCAACUCACAACUUCCCCAAGAGCCAAACCCCUGUAAGGAUGAGAAGGAACAGCUUUACGCCUCUGUCCAGUUCGAACACAAUAAGGCGUCCAAGAAAUUACAGUGUUGGGAGCCGACCCCUCAAGCCCCUCAGCCCUCUCCGUGCCCUGGAUAUGCAAGAAGGGGCGGACCAGCCGAAGACCCAAGUCAGCAUUCCGGUGGUGUGACUGUGUGUUUCCUCCAGCUAUGGCCUCUUGCCCUUGUCACUAAUCAAUCAAGAAGUCACUUAACUGU